GAUGAACGCUGGCGGCGUGCCUAAUACAUGCAAGUCGAGCGAACAGACGAGGAGCUUGCUCCUCUGAUGUUAGCGGCGGACGGGUGAGUAACACGUGGAUAACCUACCUAUAAGACUGGGAUAACUUCGGGAAACCGGAGCUAAUACCGGAUAACAUGUUGAACCGCAUGGUUCAACAGUGAAAGACGGUCUUGCUGUCACUUAUAGAUGGAUCCGCGCCGCAUUAGCUAGUUGGUAAGGUAACGGCUUACCAAGGCAACGAUGCGUAGCCGACCUGAGAGGGUGAUCGGCCACACUGGAGCUGAGACACGGUCCAGACGCCGACGGGAGGCAGCAGUAGGGAAUCUUCCGCAAUGGGCGAAAGCCUGACGGAGCAACGCCGCGUGAGUGAAGAAGGUCUGCGGAUCGUAAAACUCUGUUAUUAGGGAAGAACAAAUGUGUAAGUAACGAUGCACGUCUUGACGGUACCUAAUCAGAAAGCCACGGCGAACUACGU
rnacentral:rRNA from 1 species